AACUUUAGGCGGUGGAUCACUCGGCUCGUGCGUCGAUGAAGAACACAACCAACUGCGUGAAUUAAUGGAAAUUGUGGGACUUGUUGGACAUCUUGAUUUUGAACAUUUAUUGCGGCCAUUGGGCCCCGUCCUGUGGCC
rnacentral:rRNA from 1 species